rnacentral:rRNA from 1 species
AUUGAACGCUGGCGGCAGGCUUAACACAUGCAAGUCGAGCGGAGCGAGGGUGCUUGCACCUUAGCUUAGCGGCGGACGGGUGAGUAAUGCUUAGGAAUCUGCCUAUUAGUGGGGGACAACAUUCCGAAAGGGAUGCUAAUACCGCAUACGCCCUACGGGGGAAAGCAGGGGAUCUUCGGACCUUGCGCUAAUAGAUGAGCCUAAGUCGGAUUAGCUAGUUGGUGGGGUAAAGGCCUACCAAGGCGACGAUCUGUAGCGGGUCUGAGAGGAUGAUCCGCCACACUGGGACUGAGCCACGGCCCAGACUCCUACGGGAGACAGCAGUGGGGAAUAUUGGACAAUGGGCGGAAGCCUGAUCUAGCCAUGCCGCGUGUGUGAAGAAGGCCUUUUGGUUGUAAAGCACUUUAAGCGAGGAGGAGGCUACUAGUAUUAAUACUACUGGAUAGUGGACGUUACUCGCAGAAUAAGCACAGGCUAACUCUGUGCCAGCAGCCGCCGUAA